rnacentral:lncRNA from 1 species
CCGGGGAGAACAGAUAAUGAGAUAAAGAACUACUGGAGGACUCAUAUGAGGAAGAAAGCUCAGGAGAAGAAGCGACCUAUGUCUCCAACUUCCUCAUCUUCUAACUGCUGCUCAUCAUCUAUGACCACUGCAACUACUGAUCAAGACACUGGAGGAUCCAAUGGGAACAUGAAUCAAGAAUGUGAAGACGGAUACUACUCCAUGGAUGACAUAUGGAGAGAGAUUGAUCAGUCUGGAGCAAACAUUAUCAAACCUGUAAAAGACAUCUACUACUCAGAGCAAAGCUGUUACUUGAACUUCACUCCUCCUCUGACUUCUCCAACAUGGGAAAGUUCCUUGGAGUCUAUAUGGA